GAUGAACGCUGGCGGCGUGCCUAAUACAUGCAAGUCGAGCGAACAGACGAGGAGCUUGCUCCUCUGACGUUAGCGGCGGACGGGUGUGUAACACGUGGAUAACCUACCUAUAAGACUGGGAUCACUUCGAGAAACCGGCGCUAAUACCGGAUAAUAUAUUGAACCGCAUGGUUCAAUGGUGAAAGACGGUUUUGCUGUCACUUCUAGAUGGAUCCGCGCCGCAUUAGCUAGUUGGUAAGUUAACGGCUUAUUAAGGCGAGGAUGCGUAGCCGACGUGAUGGGGGGAUCGGCCACACUGGAACGUAGACACGGUCCUGACUCCUACGGGAGGCAGCAGUAUGGAAUCUGCCGCAAUAGGCGAAAGCCUGACGCAACAACGCCGAGUGAGUUAUGAAGGUCUUCGGAUCGUAAUACUCUGUUACUAGUGAAGAACAAAUGUGUAAGUAAAUAUGCACUUCUUGACGGUACCGAAUCAGAAAGCCACGGCUAACUACGUG
rnacentral:rRNA from 1 species